rnacentral:snRNA from 1 species
GGAUGUGAGGGAGAUCUGGCUGAGACAUCUGUCAUCCCAUUGAUCAACAGGGUUGAUCUGGUGAUCUGAGUGUCACUGUGGGUGUCCCCUUCCUCCUAUUCCACACCAUGUGCAUCCCUUCCAAAGCUUUGCACUCAAAGAGAAGGACUUCCCCCCCCCCCCCCCCCCCCCCGAUAAAGAUGGCUCUGUCGAG